UACGGGGGGGGCAAGCGUUGUUCGGAAUUACUGGGCGUAAAGGGCUCGUAGGCGGCCAACUAAGUCAGACGUGAAAUCCCUCGGCUUAACCGGGGAACUGCGUCUGAUACUGGAUGGCUAGAGUUUGGGAGAGGGAUGCGGAAUUCCAGGUGUAGCGGUGAAAUGCGUAGAUAUCGGGAGGAAUACCCAUGGCGAAGGCAGUUCACUGGGCAUUAUCUGACGCUGAGGCGCGAAAUCGUGGGGAGCAAACAGG
rnacentral:rRNA from 1 species